AUGAAGCAAGUGACCAAUACAGCAUCAUUGAAAACCAAGAUUCCUAGUGGUAUUCAUGACUUGAAUUCCAAGAAGCAAGCCAGUACUAAGGAGCAAACAAAGAAUUCGGUACAAAUUCUGAACGCGGAGGAGCAAUUUUCUACAUGUGGAAUGAAGGAUGACGACGAUGCAAUAUUCCAAAAUGAUGAUGCUAUUCUUCUUGAGGAGGAAAAAAUGCCACGUUCAGUCGAGGCGCCACCUAAAAUUAAACAGGAAAAUUUCGGAGAGUCGGAAGCUUCUUUACUUGCAUCUGAGAAUGACCAGGUCAGUAACUUCUUUUAAUUUACACCUGCUGUUUAGUGAUGCUUAUGAAAUGCUCAUUUUGAUCUUUGUUUAUUUCUGAGGCUGAUCACUUGAACCCUUUUUAUUUUAUUCCGAUUUUUAUGCACACUCAUUUUCCACCGAACUCUCUUGCCUGCUGUAUUUCAAGAAAUUUGUUCUCUGAUUUCAACGUAACAAGAUAUGACACACAGCUGGAACGGUCGGAGCUAUCUUAUCUUUUCCCUCUUAUUCACAAUUGGACAAUUUUAGACAAGAAAUUUCACUCAAAUCUAAAAUUUUCACUCUGCACCGAACAAACUUUUGAAAAAUUUCACAAUCUUACUCGGUUUUUUUUUCAGUAUGAAUAUGUAUCCAUUUUUCUUUUUGCCUCAGGAAAUGAAAGGUUCGGAAGAAGAAUUUGUUGUGACCCCUGAGCAACUGCAAAAAACUGUGUUUUGGGGUGAAGGAGGUAAGAGACAUUUUUUGGAUAUUGAGUAAACUCAGUGGUUUAAUGUUCACAAAUAACAUGGGGUUUUAGUUCCAGUAUAAGUCAGUGGUUCAAAUUGGUACUGAAAACUGAAAAGCUUAACUUGACUACUACGUAACUCGAUAUUCGAGUAAGUUCACAGUUUUUCAACUCAUUUUAUAACCAGUCAACCACUUUGAUUAAAGCCUUGAAAAGUGUCUAUUCCUACCGGUAAUGGCUCAUUCCUUUCACAAUCAUCAGCAUACUUCCUUUACCAAAAACGGUUAAGUUCUCUCAUAGCUACCAGUUCUUCUUGCAACUUUUUGUUUUCUUUUAAGCAGCUCUUGAGUUGGAUUUCUUUAGCCAGCAAUUCUUCUUUGACUUCUUUUUUCAGCACGAUUUCGUCUCCAGAAUCUGUGGUGUCGGACUGUUCAGGCUCUUUCUUGUACUUUUUUUCCCAUGUGCUAGUUGUAACGCUGUCACUUGCCUUCACAGCUUUCUUCAAUUUUGCCUAUAGAAGAUCAAAGAGGAAGAAAUUAGUACACAUCAUAGAGUCAUUUCUACUUCAAUCAGUUAUACAGCAUUAGAACUUCAUGCAGGGACAGGAUGUUUUCCCUAUCUUCCUCUGUAUCCGCUGAGUCUUUUUACUUAAAAGUAGAAAUAUUCUAUGGUGGUUCUUUAAAUGGAGUGCUCUGAGGGAAAGUUUAUCCUUCCAAAAAUGUUCUCACCUCAAAACUACAUUAUUGGCUCAUUAGUUGAAAAUAAAAUGGAAUGCACAAUGUUACAAACAGCAUGCAUGCAAAGAAAAGCAAUACAUGAUUAGAGGCCUUUACUGCCGAUCUAAGGAAAAACACCACAUAAACAUUCAAGAGUUGCCAAAUUUCCCUGAAAAAAACACGUAUUCUCUGGGAAAGUUAUUCAUAAAUUUCUUUGAAAUUUUCAGAUAUUUUAGAUAAAAUUACUGACGAAAUCCCCACAAAUUCGGAGAAGUAAUAUUCACAAAUUUUCCUGGAAUUCUUGAUUUGUUGAGGGAAAUUUGGCAAUGCCUGAUGGUUCAUACAGCGUUCUUCCUUAGCACGGCAGUUUGGGAGACAAGGUACAUAGAGCUGGAGCAAAAUAAAAAUGUAUUCGGUAAACAAUACAUUUUGUUAUUAGGGGGGGGGGAGAUGCAAUGAACUGCACUGCACCAAUACUUCCCACCUCGUCACAAAAAGUUUGUUUACCAAAUCCAUACAAAUC
rnacentral:lncRNA from 1 species